AUCGCCUGGAAACACAACAAGAUUACUGACAAUCUCCCCCCUUCCCCUCAACGAACCGCCAGUUUGCACUCUUAUCCCCAACUCCCUUUACUAUCGAACUGCACGGGCUUCUACAAACCCAACUGCCAGCUCCGGUUGCCCCCAGCCCUCUGGCGAACAGAACACUCAGCACCACACAAAUCUCCUCUCCAGAGGUCUCAUUUCCACUGCCAUAUUUGAGAAGGCCACAUGACCAACAGGAAGAAAUGCCACAAGGGGCACCACUAUGAGAAUCUUUGCAUCAGCUAAUUCUUCAUGAAACCCCUUCUUUGAGGUCUGAGAAUUACAGAAAUUAUAUGGUGGAAGAAGACAAGCAACAUCUUCAGCAGUCAUGGCCUGUGGCCCACUGUUAUAAUGGAAGUUGCAUGCAAAUAUCAUAUUGUGAAUAUUAAAAUAUACAAAAAUGUCCAUGACCCAUGUCAUAAUACAUUUGGUCCAGACCAAUUACUUAUGCUGUCCUAAAAUUUAUUCUUGCCAAGCAUCUACUUGCCAAAGAACAACUUGAUAAAGAAGUCUGA